rnacentral:rRNA from 2 species
UCUAGUGAUGAUGGCAAAGAGGUCACACCCGUUCCCAUAUCGAACACGGAAGUUAAGCUCUUUAGCGCCGAUGGUAGUUGGGGGCUUCCCCCUGUGAGAGUAGGACGUCGCUAGGC